rnacentral:rRNA from 1 species
UACAGAGGUCUCAAGCGUUGUUCGGAUUCAUUUGGCGUAAAGGGUGCGUAGGCGGCGCGGUAAGUCGGGUGUGAAAUCUCGGAGCUUAACUCCGAAACUGCAUUCGAUACUGCCGUGCUUGAGGACUGGAGAGGAGGCUGGAAUUUACGGUGUAGCGGUGAAAUGCGUAGAUAUCGUAAGGAAGACCAGUGGCGAAGGCGGGUCUCUGGACAGUUCCUGACGCUGAGGCACGAAGGCCAGGGGAGCAAACGGG